GACGAACGCUGGCGGCGUGCUUAACACAUGCAAGUCGAACGCUGAAGCUCAGCUUUUGUUGGGUGGAUGAGUGGCGAACGGGUGAGUAACACGUGAGUAACCUGCCCCCUUCUUUGGGAUAACGCCCGGAAACGGGUGCUAAUACUGGAUAUUCACUGGUCUUCGCAUGGGGGUUGGUGGAAAGGGUUUUUCUGGUGGGGGAUGGGCUCGCGGCCUAUCAGCUUGUUGGGGGGGUGAUGGCCUACCAAGGCUUUGACGGGUAGCCGGCCUGAGAGGGUGACCGGUCACAUUGGGACUGAGAUACGGCCCAGACUCCUACGGGAGGCAGCAGUGGGGAAUAUUGCACAAUGGGCGCAAGCCUGAUGCAGCGACGCCGCGUGAGGGAUGGAGGCCUUCGGGUUGUGAACCUCUUUCGCUCAUGGUCAAGCCGCAACAAUGGUUGUGGUGAGGGUAGUGGGUAAAGAAGCGCCGGCUAACUACGUG
rnacentral:rRNA from 1 species